UGGGGAGUAUUGCACAAUGGGGGAAACCCUGAUGCAGCGACGCCGCGUGAGCGAAGAAGGUUUUCGAAUCGUAAAGCUCUGUCCUAUGAGAAGAUAAUGACGGUAUCAUAGGAGGAAGCCCCGGCUAAAUACGUGCCAGCAGCCGCGGUAAUACGUAUGGGGCGAGCGUUGUCCGGAAUUAUUGGGCGUAAAGGGUACGUAGGCGGUCUAUUAAGUCAGGUGUGAAAGCGUGAGGCUUAACCUCAUUAAGCACUUGAAACUGAUAGACUUGAGUGAAGGAGAGGAAAGUGGAAUUCCUAGUGUGGCGGUGGAAUGCAUAGAUAUUAGGAGGAAUAACGGUGGCGAAGGCGACUUUCUGGACUUUUACUGACGCUCAGGUACGAAAGCGUGGGGAGCAAACAGG
rnacentral:rRNA from 1 species